AUUUUCUCUUUCUUUUCUCUCUUUAAAUGUAAAAAAAAAUUAGGUUUUGUUUUUGUUUUCUCUCUGUAUUUAAUGUCCAAUGUUUGCAAUUUUAUUUUGUCACUUUGAUUAGUAAUUAAUGCUGUUAAUUGGUCCAAGUUGAUUUUAUUGAUGUCCAAAAACAACAAGGUAACAUCAACAUGUCAUCAUCACAGUUAAUUAGUGAAUCAAGUGACCAAUCGUCACCAUCUUUACCUGUAUCAGGGUUACCGCUAUCAACACCCCAACCACCGUCAUCAUCUUUAUUACCUUCUACAUCAUCACCACCUUUUCAAACACCAGUUUUACCAUUUUCACCAGUAAAACAAUCACAAUUACCUGAGAUGUUAGUUGAUACUCUAGUCUCGGAAUGUCAGCAACCAGAAAUAUUAACAGAAACUGAAUUACAGUUAUCCUCAGGUAUCACGCCCGAUCUGGAAAAUACAUUGAUUGAAGAAGAGGUAAAAGAUACAGAUUUAGAGAGAGAAUCCUUGGAAACUAAUUUAUCAGUAAACUCUACAAUAAAUGAAUCCUUAAUUGAUUCUAAACAUAAUGUUGAACCUAAGGGCAAGUUAGAAGAAGAGAAACCGUUAGAAUUUUCAUCUCCAGGUGAACCAGAACCAGUCGAAGAACCAGUUAAGGAAUCGAUACAAGAAAACACCUUAGAACCAGAAUUACCAGAGGAAAAGCUGCAAGUUCCAAGCUCUGGGUUACAACCUAUUUUCGAACCAAUGGAAAUUUGUGAAUAUGAGUCAAACACCAUAACUCAAUUACCACAAUCACAAUCAACUCAAUCUCAACCCUCAUAUCACUUGAAAUGGGUCAAAUUGAAAGGAAACAAAUAUCCAAUAGUCACACAGAAUGAGAAUGGUCCAUGUCCAUUAAUAGCUAUUAUCAAUGUUCUCCUUGUGAAAGGACGCUUACGAUUACCCUCGAUGAUGGAAGUGAUCACAGCAAAUCAACUGAUCGAAUAUCUUGGUGAUUGUAUAUUGGAAAAUAUUCCCAAAGGCUUAAAAGAAGAAGAUCAACUUAAUUACGAGCAAAAUAUGCAUGAUGCAAUCGCCAUUCUACCUAAAUUACAAACUGGAUUAGACGUAAAUGUCCGGUUUACUGGAGUUUCCGAUUUUGAGUAUACACCCGAACUCAUCUUUUUUGACCUUCUACACAUUCCACUUUAUCAUGGUUGGCUUGUUGAUCCAAAUGAUAUCGAAACAGUGACUUCCAUUGGUAAUUUAAGUUACAAUCAAUUGGUUGACAAAAUAAUCACUCAUAAAACAUCAACUCGUCCCGAGUUGGCUUUUGAAGCUUUGGUUGUGGAACACUUUUUGGAAAGAACAGCAUCACAAUUAACUUACCAUGGAUUAUCCCAAUUAAAUUCAACCCUGAAAGACGGUGAACUCAGUGUUCUAUUUCGUAACAAUCAUUUCAUUACCCUGUUAAAAUCUAAGGAUCAAUUGUAUCAAUUAGUUACUGAUCAAGGUUUUCUUACGGAAUCAAGAGUUGUUUGGGAGACACUUAACAACAUUGAGAAUGAUGGAUUAUUCGUCGAUGGUGAUUUUAUUCCGGUCCCUCCGAAAUCUUCAUUAACUGCUGAGGAUCAGCAGGUUCAAGUUGAUCAAGAUUAUCUAAUUGCUCUGAGUCUCCAAGAGGAACAAAAAAAAGAAUUUGAGAAAGAAAAAGAAUGGGAAACAUAUAAAAGCGAAAAUGGAUUAAACGAGCUUAGUGAUGAGGAAUUCGCCCGAAAAUUACAAGAAGAAGAGAGCCGUAAAGCAGGACAAUUAACUAAUUACCAAGGAGAUAACGAGAAUGGACAAUCAUCUCAGAACGAACCGAAUCAACAUAAUCAAAGCCAUAACAAUGAGCAAUCAAGGGAUAACUUCAGAUCUCCUGGAUCUGGAAAUAAAAGAAGUCACAGUUUACCACCAAGAAAAAAUAGUAACAAACCCGAUGAUAAAUCAAAUACAAAGUGUUCGAUGAUGUGACAAAGUUAACAACUAAAACCAUAUAUACAAUUUAUUGAGACAAUUAAUAAGAAUGAUAUCAACAAUACAUGUAACACGUGAACAUUACGAUCGCGUGUUUGAUUAUAUUUCUUGCUUAUUGUCAACUAAUCGACUAACUUCUUGUCACCAAUAACAACUAAAGAAAACAAUUUUCUAACCAACGGAAGAAACAAGACCAACAAAUUAAAUCUUGAUCGAUUGAUCGACGACAAUUUAAAGAUAAAUUCACGUUAAUUAAACACGAAAAUGGAUUAAAGAAGCUUUUAAAAUCAUUAAAGAGGAAAAGUGACCAACUCUUGCUCAAAAGAAACCAACAAUUUGAAUAACUAUUGUAAUCUAAACUAUUCCCUGGUAAAUCAAUCGGUGAAAUAAUAAUUUUAAUUGCAAGUUAAUCAACACGAUUAACUGCAUGUGCCUUAAUUUAUAAAAUUAGGGAUUAAUGAUAAAUCCAAUCUAUUGGCUCGUUGACGUUCAAAUUUGGUUAAUUGUCUUUGGUUGUAUCAAACUAGCAAAUGGAUUUAUCAAUAAUUAAUGUUUUUUUCAAAAUUUUUCGUUCAACACCGCAAAUGGAAAUGUUAUGAUUACAAUUAUUUAAAUGGAUCACAAUUAUUAACCACAAUUAGUGUUGUUAUCAAUUGAAGAUUGAAUUAUGAUCAAUAACCACUAGAAAAUUGGUUAAUCAAACAUGAUGAUUGUAUAAUUUUGGAAAACAAUUGUGCCUUUAAUCUUAAACUUUUUUCUUUUCCUCUGUUCAACUAUUUUCAAUUCUAAUUAGAACAAAAUUAAUUAAAUUCUGAUGAAAUAAUUAAAUUGUUUCAUUUGAUUUCAAA